UAAAAGCACUUUUUUGAGGGAGGAAACGGGGGGGGUUAAUAACCCCGCCAAUUGACGGUACUUCAAGAAUAAGCACCGGCUAACUCCGUGCCAGCAGCCGCGGUAAUACGGAGGGGGCAAGCGUUAAUCGGAAUUACUGGGCGUAAAGGGUACGUAGGCGGUUUUUUAAGUUGGAUGUGAAAGCCCUGGGCUUAACCUGGGAACUGCAUUCAAAACUGGCAGAUUUGAGUUUUUCAGAGGCUAGUGGAAUUCCAGGGGUAGCCGGGAAAUGCGUAGAGAUCUGGAGGAACAUCAGUGGCGAAGGCGACUGGCUGGGCUAAAACUGACGCUGAAGUACGAAAGCGUGGGGAGCAAAAAGGAUUAGAUACCCUGGUAGUCCACGCCCUAAACGAUGAGAAAUA
rnacentral:rRNA from 1 species